rnacentral:rRNA from 2 species
CCUACGGGAGGCUGCAGUGGGGAAUAUUGGACAAUGGGCGCAAGCCUGAUCCAGCCAUGCCGCGUGAGUGAUGAAGGCCUUAGGGUUGUAAAGCUCUUUUAGCAGGGACGAUAAUGACGGUACCUGCAGAAAAAGCCCCGGCCAACUUCGUGCCAGCAGCCGCGGUAAUACGAAGGGGGCUAGCGUUGCUCGGAAUCACUGGGCGUAAAGCGCACGUAGGUGGGUCGUUAAGUCGGGGGUGAAAUCCCAGAGCUCAACUCUGGAACUGCCUUCGAUACUGGCGACCUUCGAGUUCGGGAGAGGUGAGUGGAACUGCGAGUGUAGAGGUGAAAUUCGUAGAUAUUCGCAAGAACACCAGUGGCGAAGGCGGCUCACUGGACCGAUACUGACACUGAGGUGCGAAAGCGUGGGGAGCAAACAGGAUUAGAUACCCCAGUAGUC